GAGGAAACUGUAAAAGCAAAGCAAACAGAUGAGCCCUUAGACUUUUGAAAUGUGGACACAUACUGAGUCUGGUCUUUGGAAACUUCUAUUUGGACCAAAAUGCUGUCUCAUCACAAAGAUCUUAGAAGGUCUUUCAUAAAAUCUGAACUGGAAGAGCUCUUCGAUAGACCUUCAUUCUCAGAGCUCUUUGCACAAGUCGUGGAUACACGGUGAUCGGCUUUUGUUUGAAUGUCUCCAGUGAUGGAGGACACACUACCGUACAAAGCAAUUCGUUCCGUUUUGCAGACAAGUUCAACUUGUUCGGCAUUUACACAGCAUUGCCCACUGGGCCUACUUAAAUUCUUUGGAGAAGCAUAGAAGAACAUCGUUUUCUUUUUCUCCAUGACAGUCUUUGAAGUAUUUGAAGAUUGUCUUUAGGUCCCCUUUGGGUGUUCUCUUCUGCAAGCUGAAAAUAGCAAGUUGUUUGGUUGUGCUGUGUCACACCCACCAGACAUCACUGCCUGUUGACUAACCUGGAUCACAGAAUUCUAGAACUGGAAAUCCGGGGAGCUAACAUUUAUGGGGAGUUUUUUUUUAUGGAUCCGCGUGCUGUCGUUUCCCACACAGUAUCUCCUUUAAAUCCUACAACAACCUAGUGAGAUACCGCUGUCACUCUGUCCAUUUCAGAGAUGGGGGCACUGAAGCUCGGAGAGACCCCAGGACAAGAGGUGGUGGAACCCAGAUCUGCCUCCAGAAUGUGGAAUUUGAGCCCAUUUUACAAACGAAGAAACAGCCCCAGAAAAGGAAAGUGACUUGCCUGAAGGCACUAGCCUGCCACGGGGGGGAGCUAGGACUUGAAUUCAGAUCCACCUUCCAGAACAAUGCUCUUUUUCAGGGGCCUCUCCAGGAGGAGAGGAGUCCGUUGGCAGGCUCCUAAUCUGUUUUCCUACUUUGCUCUAAAAACCGCCUCUCCUCAUUUUUGUUGAACAAGCAUUUGUUGGAUCCUUACUGUGUGUCUAGAACAUUUAUUUUAAUCGGAAGCUGGGGUGAUACCCGUGCGACAAGGCUAGGUUUCGAGAAUUUUACAAAACAGCAGGAGGAACUCGUAACACAUUCUGAGGUAUUUUCAUGCUAAAUCAGUGGUGGUGUUUGUAUUUCUUGGCAAUGAAAUCGUGUUAAAAAUAAGCUGCAAAUACUUGUUCAGAAGCCAGUGGAUGAUCUUCAGCAUACUUGCACUCGUUUCAGAAUCCAUUCUACAAGCUUAAACUUACUUUACUCGACUCUCAAACAUUAUCUGUACCAUUUCCCCACUGAAACUUCUGGGAGCUUCCAGCUGCCUGAAGGCUCUAUCAUUUUGGACAAGUUACUGCUCAUCUUCGAGACUGGGAUCCUUACUCUUGGGCACAGUUAUUGCGAGGAUAAAAGUCAGAUAAUGUUGAAAAGCAUCUAGCACAAAAUCGGACACCGGAGGCUUACGAUAAACGAUAAGUAUUAGGCUUACGCAUUCCUUUGUGGUUGGUUAACCCCUCGUUUCACAUUCAUGUGCUGCUUUGCAUUUUACAGAAUGUAGUUACGGACAUUAUUACCUCUCGUUUGGUCUCCCAAACAACCUGGUGAGGUAGAACAAAGAUUACCAUCCUUAUUUUACCAGUAAGAGAGGUUGAGAAACUGGCCUAUGUGACACCCUGCAGAACUGGUCUCCAUUCAUUGUUCCAUCUCGCCCACUGCCGCAGUGGCCAGUGUGAGGCGGGGUUCCUCAGAUUUCCCCCAUUUAGUUAGCAAAUAUUUAUUGCAACUCAAAUAAUUGAGCUGGACAUUUGUCCUGUUUGCGGCAUAUCUGGUUAAUCAGCAGAAUGCUUGGCGUAUAGUAGUUGCUCAAUAAAUACUUGCCCAAUGAAUGGCUGGAUUAAACCAGUUUUCUGAGUAACUCACUAGAUCACCCUGCUGCCGCCAGAGGGGCAGGAACCCUUGCAGGGACUGGGAGAGACCAGCUGGAGGGAAAAGCUGGUACGAGAUGAGACGCUUUACAAGCACCCACGUCAUGGGUGACUCUCAGAAUAAUUACGCUGGCGAAAAGAUGCCAAAGAAUGUUCCGUGUGAUUCGUUUUUAUAAAACUGUAGAAAAUGUAAACCAAUCUAUUGGACAGAAGGCAGUUAGGUGUUUGCCUGGGGACGGAAUGGGGUGGAGCGGGGAGGGAGUAGUUUCAAAGAGGCAUGAGGAAACAUGGUGGUGACGGUUUUAUGGGCAUAUAAAUAUGUUUAAAUGUAUCAAAUUAUAUUACUUUAAAUAUGUGUUUGCUGUCAGUUACACCUCCAUAAAGCUGUUUGAAGAGGAAGAGAAGGAAAGAGAAGCGAUGAAGAAGGGAGGAAAAGGACAAGAGGCCGGUUCUCCUUUUUGCCUCUACAAAUGCUAAUGCCAAGGCCCAUCCAUUAUGAGGCUGGUUCUCUGUCCCUUUCGUGAUCAGUAUCUUGGCAUGGCAGGUGGAGAAAGGAUCGGCCUGGGACUCAGGAGGCCUGGUUCCUGUCUCUGCCACUCACAAUGGCAUGAUGUUGGGCGUUAGCCUGACCUCUGUCAGCCCCAACCUCCCAUUUAUAGUUUUGCGAUGUUUGCCCACUCAACCUCAGCAUCAAAUGGAAGUUACCUAAGGUGACACGUAUCAAAGUUCUUAACCAACCGAGCCACCCAGACGUCCUACACAUAUCAGAGUUCUUAGUGAAAUGUGAGAGUGUAGGUCAAAGGGAGGAUGACAGGAAAUGAGCCCUGACCCUCUUUCUGGCCUAGUCAUGAGAACAAAUGCGACACGGAACACAGAGACCCACAGCAGCAGCUGCAUUGCUUGAGCUCUCUGUUCUUUGGCUAAAUGAUCCCGGACUCCUACAGUAUAAGUUUUCUUGUGUCCACUGGCUAUAAUUUAUCAAGAGCUGUGUUCUAGAUCAAGCUGUGCCUCACACUCGCUCGGAACUUGAACAGUCAUGGUUCCACUCAGUGUGUCUGUCAAAUGAGGGGAAUAGAUUUGUUGGCCCCUGCAGGCCUUCUGGCCCUUGCCUUGCAGGAUUCUAUCACCUUCUUGUCAAACUAUUUGCCCACCUUGAUGACUCCAGACGGGAGAAGUGUGGCCAGCGGCCAUUCUCACAUCUCUGACCUUCAGUGACCUUGCGGCAUCAGGGAAAUGGUAACCUUUACCACCUCCCCAGCCCUCACCAACACAUGUAUACACACACACACACGCACAUUUUGUUUUUAUUUUGUUCUCCAAACACCAGGUCGACCUAUAAACAGAUAUACCAGAUAUCUUUUUGAGUUCAUUCACUCAAAAUCUAUGACAUUAGGUUAAAAAUCUUACCUCCCAGAAAGCUUGGUCAUCAAAAUAUUUAGAUACAUGAGGUCCUCUCCAUAUUUUGAGGUUUAAGACCAAACCUGUUAAAAUUCAAAAUUACGUGCUAAACAGUUAGGGCACAGCGUUUGUUAUCUCAAAAUUAAUAAAUAUAUCCUAUGCCAGGCAUGCUUAUCUCCACAAAAAUCCCUUUUUCUUCUACAACCAGGAGACAGACAAAUUGGAGUGCUGUCCUUCCUGGACCGGCUUAGUUAAUUCUAUAAACACCUUUUAAAGGAAACUGGCAAGUGCAAUUAUAUCUCCAAAGGAUUAAGAUGACAGUGAGAGGUAUGCAAUAGCCACGGAUCUGACAUGCUUCCCAAGAUGGAAUAGAACAUGGUGCCCCUACCUAAAAGUGGAUCCUUUAAGAACACAGGAACUACCAUGGACAGCAACUCCAAUUAGGUGGCCCUGUAGGUCCUGCGUCACCAGCUCCAAUAAACUCUCCAUGACCUCA